GGGAUUGUGAGGGAUAUUCCAUAGUUUGUUUUUGUAAUUUUCAGUUUCCAGUAGCUUGGUUUUCUAGCUGCAUGAUCCAUAAGUAGAGGUAGUUCUUAGCUUCUCUAUCUUUCAAGUUUUUGUUAAAGUAAAAUUACCUAUUUGUGACAGAGCCCUAACUUCUCAGCCUUUAGAAUUACCUUUCAGUUUGACCGUUGCUCGCCAGUUUCUGAUGGAUUCGGACUUAUCGGUUGCUGUUGUUGAUAAAUGUGUUCCUUGUUAUGGUGCCACUGGUGCAGAGGCGCACUUUUAACUUUCAAGAGAAUGGUUGAACACUUCAUCUAAGCACUCAAAGGGUGACCUUGCUGGCAUCAUCCAGUUGUUGCCUUAGGCGUAAUAAGAAGCAUGCCAACACCUCAGAAGAGAAUCGGGCACUAAAGAUGCGUGACUCUGAUGAUGAAGAUAUGAAUCUUUCAUCCUUCCCUAAGAAAUUUGGGAACUCAAGCUUCCUUAUUGACUCAUUUCCAGUGGCAGAGU